rnacentral:rRNA from 1 species
ACAGCCAGGAUGUUGGCUUAGAAGCAGCCAUCAUUUAAAGAAAGCGUAAUAGCUCACUGGUCGAGUCGGCCUGCGCGGAAGAUGUAACGGGGCUAAACCAUGCACCGAAGCUGCGGCAGCGACGCUGAUGCGUUGUUGGGUAGGGGAGCGUUCUGUAAGCCUGCGAAGGUGUGCUGUGAGGCAUGCUGGAGGUAUCAGAAGUGCGAAUGCUGACAUAAGUAACGAUAAAGCGGGUGAAAAGCCCGCUCGCCGGAAGACCAAGGGUUCCUGUCCAACGUUAAUCGGGGCAGGGUGAGUCGACCCCUAAGGCGAGGCCGAAAGGCGUAGUCGAUGGGAAACAGGUUAAUAUUCCUGUACUUGGUGUUACUGCGAAGGGGGGACGGAGAAGGCUAUGUUGGCCGGGCGACGGUUGUCCCGGUUUAAGCGUGUAGGCUGGUUUUCCAGGCAAAUCCGGAAAAUCAAGGCUGAGGCGUGAUGACGAGGCACUACGGUGCUGAAGCAACAAAUGCCCUGCUUCCAGGAAAAGCCUCUAAGCAUCAGGUAACAUCAAAUCGUACCCCAAAC